rnacentral:rRNA from 1 species
UACGUAGGGGGCAAGCGUUGUCCGGAUUUAUUGGGCGUAAAGAGCGUGUAGGCGGCCAGGUAGGUCAGCUGUGAAAACUCGAGGCUUAACCUCGAGACGCCGGCUGAAACCCUCUGGCUAGAGUCCGGAAGAGGAGAGCGGAAUUCCUGGUGUAGCGGUGAAAUGCGCAGAUAUCAGGAAGAACACCCGUGGCGAAGGCGGCUCUCUGGGACGGUACUGACGCUGAGGCGCGAAAGCGUGGGGAGCGAACAGG